rnacentral:rRNA from 1 species
UACAGAGGUCUCAAGCGUUGUUCGGAUUCAUUGGGCGUAAAGGGUGCGUAGGUGGCGCGAUAAGUCGGGUGUGAAAUCUCGGAGCUUAACUCCGAAAUUGCAUUCGAUACUGCCGUGCUUGAGGACUGGAGAGGAGACUGGAAUUCAUGGUGUAGCAGUGAAAUUCGUAGAUAUCGGGAGGAACACCAGUGGCGAAGGCGGCGAUCUGGGAAGAUACUGACGCUGAGGUGCGAAAGCGUGGGGAGCAAACAGG